rnacentral:rRNA from 1 species
UACGUAGGCGGAAAAUUAAGUCAGUAGUGAAAUCCCGCAGCUCAACUGUGGAACUGUUAUUGAUACUGGUUUUCUUGAAUUUAGUUGAGGUAGGCGGAAUGUGUAAUGUAGCGGUGAAAUGCUUAGAUAUUACACAGAACACCGAUUGCGAAGGCAGCUUACUAAACUAUGAUUGACGCUGAGGUACGAAAGCGUGGGGAGCGAACAGGAUUAGAUACCCUGGUAGUCC